CAGGGAAGAUCUGAUGUGAAUAGGUGAUGAGACCGGCUGUGUUACCCUUACGUGCCUUCCCAGCAUGGUGGGAGAAGAGCAGGACCCAGGCAGGAGCGUGUUGCUGUUGGGAGUUCCCACAGAUGCCAGUGCCAGCUUGGGAAGCUCAUAUGCCCCUGUCCCCAGCGCCACUCCGUAAGAUGCACCAGGACAGCUGUUCGCAGGGCGACUGGAGAAACCAAGAACAGAACCAGGAAGAAUCCCUCCUUUUUAAGUAAUGGAACUUCAGUAGACCUGCAGUGGCUGGCUGGUUUGACGACACUUACCCUGAAGUGGUACCAUAAGGGGCACUCAGCUGAAAGCAGAGAGGUAAUCAGAACAUCCCUAGAUGGAGAGGCUUCAGCUGCUUUAUGCCAUGGUCAAACUGUACUCUUUGGACUACUAGAAAGAAUGAUAUUCAGGUUACGAUGGAGCAAAUUCCUUUGAGCUGAUGCAUUGGCUUCUCAGCAGCUUCGGUGCUACAAGUGACGUGAACACUGUGGAGACAGAGUAGAAGUGAGCAACUCUGGACAACAUCUUGGGUUCCUUUGCACGUACAUAGAAUAAAGUGCAGCUAGCAAGCCAGA